rnacentral:rRNA from 1 species
AACCUGGUUGAUCCUGCCAGUAGUCAUAUGCUUGUCUUAAAGACUAAGCCAUGCAUGUCUAAGUAUAAAUAGUAUACAGUGAAACUGCGAAUGGCUCAUUAAAUCAGUUAUAAUUUACUUGAUAAUUAAAUUCUACAAGGAUAACCGUAGUAAUUCUAGAGCUAAUACUUGCUGUUAACCUGACUUUUCGGAAGGGUUGUAUUUAUUAGAUAGCAAACCAUCAGCCCGCAAGGGUUGCUGUGAUGAUUCAUAAUAACUGAUCGGAGCGAGGCCCGGCCUUGCUAAAUCAUUCAAGUUUCUGCCCUAUCACUUUGAUGGUAGUGUAUCUGACUACCAUGAGGAUUACGGGUACGCGGAAUUAGGGUUUGAUUUGCGGAGAGGGAGCCUGAGAAACGGCUACCACUUCUAAGGAAGGCAGCAGGCGCGCAAAUUACCCAAUCCCAAUUCGGGGAGGUAGUGACAAGAAAUAAUAACCCGGGGUCUCAUGAUUUACGGGAUUAAAAUGAGAACAAUUUAAAUCACUUAACGAGGAACAAUUGGAGGGCAAGUUCUGGUGCCAGCAGCCGCGGUAAUUCCAGCUCCAAUAGCGUAUAUUAAAGUUGUUGCAGUUAAAAAGCUCGUAGUCGAUCUUCUAAGAGCGGUGGUCGGGAUCUCCAUCCCGGUUUGCUUGCUCUUAUCUGACUGAGACCACUAUUCGUGCUUAACUGUUGCGAAAGUGUAAUCAGUCACUUUACUGAGAAAAAAUUAGAGUGUUCAAAGCAAGCACUGCGCCUUGAAUACACAAGCUUGGAAUAAUAGAAUAUGACUAAAGUCUCUUUGUUGGUUUUAAGACUUUGGUAAUGGUUAAAAGAAACAGUUGGGGGCAUUAGUAUCUAAUUGUCAAAGGGGAAAUUCUUGGAUUUAUUAAAGACUAACCUAUGCGAAAGCAUUUGCCAAGGAUGUUUUCAAUUGAUCAAGAACGAAAGGUAGGGGACCAAAGACGAUCAGAUACCGCCCUAGUCUUAACUAUAAACGAUUCCACUUUUGGGAGGGGGUACCUUUAUAACUCUCUCAGCACAUUAUGAGAAAUCAUAAGUCUUUGGGUUCCGGGGGAAGUAUGGACACAAGUCUGAAACUUAAAGGAAUUGACGGAAGGGCACACAAGGAGUGGAGCCUGCGGCUUAAGUUUGACUCAAACACGGGGAAACUUACCAGGGCAAGACAUAGGUGGGAUUGACAGAAAUGAGAGCUCUUUCUUGAUUCUAUGGGUGGUGGUGCAUGGCCGUUCUUAGUUGGUGGAGUGAUUUGUCUGGUUAAUUCCGUUGACGAACGAGACCUUACCCUGCUAAAUAGGAGCCUGAUUCUCAAUCGGGUGUCCUUCUUAGAGGGACUAUGUGCGCAAGCACAUGGAAGUUUGAGGCAAUAACAGGUCUGUGAUGCCCCUAGAUGUCCUGGGCCGCACGUGCGCUACAAUGCCACAAGCAACAAGUUAUUCCUGCUCCGACAGGAGUUCGGGUAAUCUUUAUAGUUUGUGGCGUGACCGGGAUUGUCCUUUGCAAUUAUAGGACAUGAACUAGGAAUUCCUAGUAUAGGUAUGUCAUCAGCAUGCCUAGAUUAAGUCCCUGCCCUUUGUACACACCGCCGGUCGCUCCUACCGAUUGAGAGAUUCAGUGAACCUUCUGGAGUUUGGGUCGACUUUUAGUCUUCUCUGCGAAGUUAAGUAAACUAUUAUCUCUUAGAGGAAGGAGAAGUCGUAACAAGGUUUCCGUAGGUGAACCUGCAGAAGGAUCAA